rnacentral:rRNA from 1 species
UACGAAGGGAGCUAGCGUUGUUCGGAAUAACUGGGCGUAAAGGGUGCGUAGGUGGGUGUGUGCGUUAGAUGUGAAAUCCCCGGGCUUAACCUGGGAACUGCAUUUAAUACGGCACAUCUAGAGUGCGAGAGGGGAAAGCGGAAUGGCGAGUGGAGCAGUGAAAUGCAUUGAGAUUCGCUAGAACACCAGAGGCGAAGGCGGCUUUCUGGCUCGCUACUGACACUAAGGCACGAAAGCGUGGGGAGCAAAC